CAUAAGCUGCGUUGUUCGUAUUCAUAAUAAAGUUUUAACCUUUAAGCUGGAAUAGGGAGUUUUAAAGGAAACCGGAAUGACAAACCUCUGUCUAGAUGACAUGGAGGACAUGCAGGAACGUUUCUGCGAACACCCACUUUGCGGAGUGGUGGUUUAAAACUUUCUUAUAUUUCUAUACGGCAGAGGCGGCUUGUAC
rnacentral:other from 1 species